GGUUAAAAUAACUACUUCAGAAGAUCGUCUGAUCUCGGAAGCUAAGCUGGGCAGGCCUGGUUUGUACUUUGAUGGGAGACCGCCUGGGAAUACCAGGUGCUGUAAGCU
rnacentral:rRNA from 10 species